GUCAGAAUGGCCGAGUGGUUUAAGGCGCCAGAUUUAAGCUUUGGUUCUCGAAAGAGAGCUUAGGUUCGAAUCCCAGUUCUGACA